rnacentral:rRNA from 1 species
CAGUCGCCGCGGGAAUACAGAGGGUGCUAGCGUUAAUCGGAUUUACUGGGCGUAAAGCGUGCGUAGGCGGCUUCUUAAGUCGGAUGUGAAAUCCCUGAGCUUAACUUAGGAAUUGCAUUCGAUACUGGGAAGCUAGAGUAUGGGAGAGGAUGGUAGAAUUCCAGGUGUAGCGGUGAAAUGCGUAGAGAUCUGGAGGAAUACCGAUGGCGAAGGCAGCCAUCUGGCCUAAUACUGACGCUGAGGUACGAAAGCAUGGGGAGCAAACAGGAUUAGAUACCCCCGUAGUCCCUGUCUCUUAUAC